rnacentral:rRNA from 1 species
UGAAUACGAGACGCUACGGCGUCGAAGCAGUCGAUGUCAUACUUCCAAGAAAAGCUUGCAAUGUCAUAAACAAAUAAUGCCUGUACCAUAACCGACACAGGUGGGUAGGUAGAGUAUACUAAGGUGCGCGAGAUAACUCUCUCUAAGGAACUCGGCAAAAUGACUCCGUAACUUCGGGAGAAGGAGUGCCUUAUUUAUAAGGUUGCAAUAACAAGAUCCAAGCAACUGUUUAUCAAAAACACAGGUCUCCGCUAAGUCGUAAGACGAUGUAUGGGGGCUGACGCCUGCCCAGUGCCAGAAGGUUAAAGAAGUUGGUUAGCAUCCGCGAAGCUGAUAACUGAAGCCCUGGUGAACGGCGGCCGUAACUAUAACGGUCCUAAGGUAGCGAAAUUCCUUGUCGGGUAAGUUCCGACCCGCACGAAAGGCGUAAUGAUUUGGAUACUGUCUCGGAGAGGGACUCGGUGAAAUAGACUUGUCUGUGAAGAUGCGGACUACCUGCACCUGGACAGAAAGACCCUAUGAAACUUUACUGUAACUUGAAAUUGAAAUUGGACUUUAUUUGCGCAGUAUAGGUGGGAGGCGUUGAGAAUAUUCUUGCGGGAAUAUUGGAGCCAUCAGUGAGAUACCACUCUUGUAAUGUUAGAUUUCUAACUUUGCAUCAUUAUCUGGUCAAAGAACAGUUUCAGGCGGGCAGUUUGACUGGGGCGGUCGCCUCCCAAACGGUAACGGAGGCGUACAAAGGUUUCCUCUGAACGGGUAGAAAUCGUAUCUAGAGUGUAAAGGCAUAAGGAAGCUUGACUGUGAGACCUACAAGUCGAGCAGGGACGAAAGUCGGUCUUAGUGAUCUGACGGUGCUGAGUGGAAAGGCCGUCACUCAACGGACAAAAGUUACUCUAGGAUAACAGGCUGAUCUCCCCCAAGAGUUCACAUCGACGGGGAGGUUUGGCACCUCGAUGUCGGCUCAUCGCAUCCUGGGGCGGUAGUACGUCCCAAGGGUUGGGCUGUUCGCCCAUGAAAGCGGUACGCGAGCUGGGUUCAGAACGUCGUGAGACAGUUCGGUCCAUAUCCGGUGUAGGCGUUAGAAUAUUGAGAGGAGCCUUCUUUAGUACGAGAGGACCGAGAAGGACAUACCUCUGGUGUACCAGUUAUCGUGCCAACGGUAAACGCUGGGUAGCUAUGUAUGGAGAGGAUAACCGCUGAAAGCAUCUAAGUGGGAAGCCCACCUCAAGAUAAGUAUUCC